rnacentral:rRNA from 1 species
UACAGAGGGCUCAAGCGUUGUUCGGAUUCAUUGGGCGUAAAGGGCGCGUAGGCGGCUUGGCAAGUGGAAGGUGAAAUCCCUCGGCUUAACCGAGGAACUGCCCUCCAAACUGCUUUGCUUGAGGCCGGGAGAGGUGAGUGGAAUUCCCAGUGUAGCGGUGAAAUGCGUAGAUAUUGGGAGGAACACCAGUGGCGAAGGCGGCUCACUGGACCGGUUCUGACGCUGAGGCGCGAAAGCGUGGGGAGCAAACAGG